UACGUAGGGGGCGAGCGUUGUCCGGAUUUAUUGGGCGUAAAGCGCACGCAGGCGGUCUACCCAGUUCGGAGUGACAGUUUCCGGCUUAACCGGGAAAGGUCUUCGAAAACUGGUAGACUUGAGGCCUUGAGGGGGAGACGGAAUUCCGGGUGGAGCGGUGAAAUGCGUAGAGAUCCGGAGGAACACCGAAGGCGAAGGCAGUCUCCUGGCAAGGUUCUGACGCUCAGGUGCGAAAGCUAGGGGAGCGAACAGG
rnacentral:rRNA from 1 species